AACCGAAAGAAUUGCCUUGAUCAUUGUUUACCAAUAACAGUUUAACAUCUUACAGUUAUCUGCACUUCACAUGCCCUACACAAUUAUAUAAUCAUACACAUCAACUAUUAGUCACAUAGCAACGCAUAAUAAUUGUAAUGUAAACUUUACUCUAUAUCUCAUAAGUCCGAUGACAUCCAACUUUGGAUAUGCUGUAAACAUCAUAUUAAACUAUUUUUAAAAGUUAUUGGACACCCAUUUCGGAUAAGAUAGACA
rnacentral:lncRNA from 1 species